CACGUAGGGGGCAAGCGUUGUCCGGAUUCAUUGGGCGUAAAGAGCUCGUAGGCGGUUCGAUAAGUCGGGUGUGAAACCUCCAGGCUCAACCUGGAGACGCCACCCGAUACUGUCGUGACUAGAGUCCAGUAGGGGAGCGUGGAAUUCCUGGUGUAGCGGUGAAAUGCGCAGAUAUCAGGAGGAACACCAGUAGGCGAAGGCGGACUCGUGGGACCGUAUGACAUGCGCUGAGGACGAAAGCGUGGGGAGCAACAGG
rnacentral:rRNA from 1 species